GUUGAGCGGCGCGACGGUCCUGCAGCAGCUAUCAGUACCUAAAGAGGUUCCUCUUUUUUUUAUAGUUGCAUAGUAUUUCUUUAUGCAGUUGCACCAUCAUUGUUAUUUAUGUUGAGCUUGUGUCUAAAAUCUUUGCAUCUAUCAGUAAUUACUUAAAUAGACUGAGUUGAGCUGGGAUUACUAUGGCAAAGAAUGGGCAAAAAUCUAUUGCUCUUGAAACCUACCAUAAAAUCCCAUUUGGAAUGCUUGUAACAAGUCAUAUUCCUUUCUUGACAUCCUCAUUAUCAAGUAUUAUUAAAAGUAUUUUUCUGCCAAUUUAAGAGGUGAAAUGGUGUCUCCUUUUAAUUUGGAUUUGAUUCCUAGUGGUUGAGUUUGUUUCACAUUCUUAUUUCAGCUCAUCUUCUAGAAGUCAUCUAUAGCUACUGUCAGUUUCUAGGCUUCCAAGGACACCCUUCAGCCUACUGCAAUGCAGCUUCUUACCCUACUCCUCCAUGGACAGAUGACAUCCAUUUCUGAAAUCCAGGGGCCACACUUCAAUCUAUCUCAUGAGGUAUCUCUGCUUGGUGGACACCGAUGUUCUCCCUUCCUGAAGACUCUGCUUCUCUGACUUCUGUGAGCAUAGCCUCUUCUGGUCACUCGUUCUCUGGCAUAGACUUCUUCUCUGUGGGCUGGCAGCGAACAGUGGGGCCUUCAGCAUCAUUAUUGCUCAGGUCAGUACAAAGGACCACAUAAGGGAGUAUGAUAGUGAGGAGCCAAGAUCACUCCACAUCUCGAGAAGAGAUGAUAGCAGCCUGGAAUGGUUUGGUGGCCAUGGGAAUAAAGAGAAAGGG
rnacentral:lncRNA from 1 species